GUCUUUUUGAGUUAUUUUAAAAGUCUGACCUGCCCACUGAAUUUUUUUAAAUGGCCGCAGUAUUCUAACUGUGCAAAGGUAGCAUAAUCAUUAGUCUUUUAAUUGAAGGCUGGUAUGAACGGUUGGACGAAGUAUAAGCUGUUUCAUGUAAAUUUACAGUAGAAUUUUAUAUUUUAGUCAAAAAGCUAAAAUGUAAUUAAAAGACGAGAAGACCCUAUAAAUCUUUAUAUUUUAUUUAAUUUAAAUUUUUUUGAUUUUUUUUAUUUUUAUUAUAUUAAAUAUUUUGUUGGGGUGAUAUUAAAAUUUGAUGAACUUUUAAUUGUUUUAAAUCAUUAAUUUAUGAAUUAUUGAUCCAUUAGUAGUGAUUAUAAGAUUAAGUUACUUUAGGGAUAACAGCGUAAUUUUUUUGGAGAGUUCUUAUCGAUAAAAAAGUUUGCGACCUCGAUGUUGAUUAAGAUAUAGAUUUAGGUGUAGCCGCUUAAAUACUGAGUCUGUUCGACUUUUAAAUUCUU
rnacentral:rRNA from 2 species